GACGAACGCUGGCGGCGUGCUUAACACAUGCAAGUCGAACGGAAAGGCCCUGCUUUUGUGGGUUGCUCGAGUGGCGAACGGGUGAGUAACACGUGAGUAACCUGCCCUUGACUUUGGGAUAACUUCAGGAAACUGGGGCUAAUACCGGAUAGGAGCUCCUGCUGCAUGGUGGGGGUUGGAAAGUCUCGGCGGUUGGGGAUGGACUCGCGGCUUAUCAGCUUGUUGGUGGGGUAGUGGCUUACCAAGGCUUUGACGGGUAGCCGGCCUGAGAGGGUGACCGGCCACAUUGGGACUGAGAUACGGCCCAGACUCCUACGGGAGGCAGCAGUGGGGAAUAUUGCACAAUGGGCGGAAGCCUGAUGCAGCAACGCCGCGUGCGGGAUGACGGCCUUCGGGUUGUAAACCGCUUUCGCCUGUGACGAAGCGUGAGUGACGGUAAUGGGUAAAGAAGCACCGGCUAACUACGUG
rnacentral:rRNA from 1 species